CAGAUGACAUCUGAGAUGUUUAUGUAUUUUCAGUAGGAGACUAGUACUUAUGGAUUCAAAAUAUCUUCAAGAACAACUAGGAGACGUCUUAACUUUGGCACUUGCAGAAGUAUGUGAAAAACGACCAGCUGACCCAGUAGAGUAUCUAGCACAAUGGUUAUAUCGGAAAAAGAAAGAUCAAGAAACAUUAAAACAGGAUAUGAAGGAUGAGUUGGAGCUCUAUCUGGAAUCUAAGGAGGUGAAAUCAUCAGAUUGAGCAAGUAGUUGCCUCAGAGAAUGCUACCUUCUGUUAUCUGUGUCACAUCUGUUACAAGAAUGCAGGCAUGGGUCUGAAAGCAUGUCAUGUGUUUACAUUGUCAAUCAUUUCUUCAUCUGGAUCCUGUCUAAUAAAUUCAAGGUUAGCCAUAUUAACACUGGCGCUAAUUCUGUGUGAUUUAUAUAAUUUAAAGUAUAGUUUGAUAGAUAAUAAAUGAUUGCAAUUUACCUAAAACACAUCUACAUGCACGUGCACAUAAUCCAAUAUCAUUUGUAUACGUGUGCAUAUAUAUAGUGAAGUUUCGUAAUAAUAAAAACAUGGAACUAACUUACUGUAAAUACUUGUUACCCAGCUAACAAUGGCAAUGCCAGCAAACUGCUCGAACUGGCUUUCGAAUUAGAGGUUCGUGCAAAACUAAUAGUAAUUAGACUAUUAAACAUAUAUGGGGAAUAACGGUAAUAAUAAAAUUAUAUUUCCCGAAAUAGAAACUUACAGAUCAAAUCAAUAUUUGAAAUUUUAUUUUAACACAGAAAUGUUUACGUGGUAACAUGUAAGAUUUACAAUAAAUAAUCACACAAUAUUGACAAAAAAUUGAAAUUUUCCCAUGUUUAGCAUCAAGAGGUGCAUGGUAUUAAGAACCAAACCUGUAUGCGGAUCUCUCAUGCUGACAGGUGCCACCUACGUGUUAACUGUAAUUUAAUUUUUUGCAUUCCAUUGUUUCUUAACAUAUGGCUACCCCGGCAUAUGGUUUUAGUCCACA